UUAUCAUAUGGUCUUUAUUGCCUUUAUAUGUUUGUUAGGAACUUCUGAAAAAGAUAGCUCCUACAUGGAUGAAUGAAGAAGGACCCUGAAGCUGAUAAAGCUUUUGGCUGGGUACCCUGAAGUUGAUAAAGAUGAUUCCCCCUUAGCUUGUGGAUUGGGAUUGGGAACAAAAACUAACAUUAAACCUCCGUAUAUCUUCUUAUCAUCUUGUUUAUAUGCAGGACAGAAUGCAUUCCAAGUUGCUUUCUUUUUCUGGAGCGGGUUAAGUUUGGUUUACCUUCUUGCUUCCACAAGAAUGCUGCAGACGUAGCCAUCAGGCUCUCAAUGGGGUGUAAUUGAGAGGCUUAAUGUUUUGAGGUGCAGAGGCAUGGCUUCAAUGUACUCUUGGUCUUGCAAGAGGUAAAGUAGUCCCAAGUGUUUGUUUUCUUGUUGUUUGUGUGAAUUUCAGCUUUUAGGCCUUAGUUUUACAUUGAUUUUGGGUAUUGAACUUCUGUGAUUGUUUUGAUUCCCAAGACAUUUUUCUUGCUUCGAGCAUGAGGAUA